CCUACGGGGGGCAGCAGUGAGGAAUAUUGGUCAAUGGGCGCAAGCCUGAACCAGCCAAGUCGCGUGAAGGAUUAAUGUUCUACGGGUUGUACACCUCUUAUAUAAAGGAAUAAAGUGUGGCACGUGUGCCUUUUUGUAUGUACUUUAUGAAUAAGGAUCGGCUAACUCCGUGCCAGCAGCCGCGGUAAUACGGAGGAUCCGAGCGUUAUCCGGAUUUAUGGGGUUUAAAGGGAGCGUAGGUGGGCUGUUAAGUCAGUUGUGAAAGUCUGCGGGUCAACCGUCAAAUUGCAGUUGAACCUGGCAGCCUUGAGUACAGUUGAGGUAGGCGGAAUGCGUGGUGUAGCGGUGAAAUGCUUAGAUA
rnacentral:rRNA from 1 species